GAUGAACGCUGGCGGCGUGCCUAAUACAUGCAAGUCGAGCGAACGGACGAGAAGCUUGCUUCUCUGAUGUUAGCGGCGGACGGGUGAGUAACACGUGGAUAACCUACCUAUAAGACUGGGAUAACUUCGGGAAACCGGAGCUAAUACCGGAUAAUAUUUUGAACCGCAUGGUUCAAAAGUGAAAGACGGUCUUGCUGUCACUUAUAGAUGGAUCCGCGCUGCAUUAGCUAGUUGGUAAGGUAACGGCUUACCAAGGCAACGAUGCAUAGCCGACCUGAGAGGGUGAUCGGCCACACUGGAACUGAGACACGGUCCAGACUCCUACGGGAGGCAGCAGUAGGGAAUCUUCCGCAAUGGGCGAAAGCCUGACGGAGCAACGCCGCGUGAGUGAUGAAGGUCUUCGGAUCGUAAAACUCUGUUAUUAGGGAAGAACAUAUGUGUAAGUAACUGUGCACAUCUUGACGGUACCUAAUCAGAAAGCCACGGCUAACUACGUGCCAGCAGCCGCGGUAAUACGUAGGUGGCAAGCGUUAUCCGGAAUUAUUGGGCGUAAAGCGCGCGUAGGCGGUUUUUUAAGUCUGAUGUGAAAGCCCACGGCUCAACCGUGGAGGGUCAUUGGAAACUGGAAAACUUGAGUGCAGAAGAGGAAAGUGGAAUUCCAUGUGUAGCGGUGAAAUGCGCGGAGAUAUGGAGGAACACCAGUGGCGAAGGCGACUUUCUGGUCUGUAACUGACGCUGAUGUGCGAAAGCGUGGGGAUCAAACAGG
rnacentral:rRNA from 1 species